UAGAAGACAAAUAUCCUUCGUUCGAAGUUUUGUGUUCUGUAACACAGUCUCCUCCCCAGGCUUUCCUGGAACUCAACAGUGGAAGCUCAAACUCACAAGAAUCAGUCUGGGGCUUCCCUAGUGCUGGGGCCACAGGCUUGUGCCACCUAACCUGCCUUUACCCAGUGAGACUUUAGAAUUGCUCUCCCACAUGGACCGAGGGUCUGCAUUUCAUGGACGCUGCAACUCACAAACAACGCUUUGCCUUUCUGCGAUUGAAGCCACUGACCCCCGUUGUCUGGCCAGGAUGACAUAAACUCUGACUAAUGCGAGGAGAAAGUGCUGCUGGCCCUGGCUGUGGAAAGGCUUCCUCCGGACAACGGAAUUGCCCUCCUUCCGCUGGCCCUCCUGAUCGAUCCUGGUUCCCUUAGUGAUCUGAGCAUGGGCUGCAGGGACCAUGUCUGCAGCUGGGCAUCCUUUGGUUGCUCAGAGUUGUGAAGAUCCCUCCGGCUACAUUGCUUCCUUGACAGCCUAGGCUCCUGUGCUGAAGCACGAUUCCUGUUUCAGGUCCCAGUGAAGCAAACAGGUUCCCACUGGGCCACACUCUCUCAGGGGACACAAGCCUCCCCUGUUCUUCCUUAGCCACUCAAGACCCAGGGUACCCACAAACAAGACUCAAGGGCCCCUCUCUAGCGGGCCUGUAGGUAGAUCCUUUCUCUUUAAAACUGGUGAAGCCUUGAUGAGGCUGGAUGGAAGGAUUAUCAAAACAAUUUUCCCUCAGUUCUGAAACCGGAAAGGCAGGCUCUCUGCAAGUCCUGUUUCCCCUGCACUAGACUCCAAGGUGCCCUUCCCUCGCGGCUAAAUCUCCAUAUCCAGGAGCUCCUGGCUUCUGUGGAUCCCCACCUGGGACUGACUGAGGUCACAGAAGCAGACAAGUGAGGAAAGUAGCAGCUCCAGCUGCUCCCCGCUAACUCGGGAAUGGGCUGUGCAGAGGUUUGAGUGCUGUGUACAUCGCAGUGGGUGUCGACACCCACUGCAAGUGAGGCAAUGUAAGAAUCCUGGGGAUCCGUGGGAGGACUGAGGAGGUGGAUAAAGUCCCGGUGACCUCAGUUCGAUUCCCCAGGACCCACUUGGGAGACGUCUAGAGCCAGUUUUCACAAGUUGUCUUCUGGUCAACACACGCACACGCCCCCAUGCCCUCUGCCCCAUGUACAAAUACAUAAAUAAA